CUACGGGGGGCAGCAGUGGGGAAUAUUGGACAAUGGACCAAAAGUCUGAUCCAGCAAUUCUGUGUGUUUGAUGAAGGCCUUCGGGUUGUAAAGAACUUUAAGCAGGGAAGAAGAAAGUGACGGUACCUGCAGAAUAAGCGACGGCUAAAUACGUGCCAGCAGCCGCGGUAAUACGUAUGUCGCAAGCGUUAUCCGGAAUUAUUGGGCAUAAAGGGCGUCUAGGCGGUUUAGUAAGUCUGAUGUGAAAAUGCGGGGCUCAACUCCGUAUUGCGUUGGAAACUGCUAGACUAGAGUUUUGGAGAGGUAGGCGGAACUACAAGUGUAGAGGUGAAAUUCGUAGAGAUUUGUAGGAAUGCCGAUGACGAAGGUAGCUUACUGGACAAAUACUGACGCUGAAGCGCGAAAGCUAGGGGAGCAAACAGGAUUAGAUACCCGCGUAGUC
rnacentral:rRNA from 1 species